UACAGAGGGUGCAAGCGUUAAUCGGAGCUACUGGGCGUAAAGGGCGCGUAGGCGGUUAUUUAAGUUUGAUGUGAAAUCCCUGGGCUUAACCUAGGAACUGCAUUGAAUACUGGGUAACUGGAGUACUGUAGAGGGUAGUGGAAUUUCCGGUGUAGCGGUGAAAUGCGUAGAGAUCGGAAGGAACACCAGUGGCGAAGGCGGCUACCUGGACAGAUACUGACGCUGAGGCGCGAGAGCGUGGGGGAGCAAACAGG
rnacentral:rRNA from 1 species